rnacentral:rRNA from 2 species
UUGAUUGGUGCUUGCAUCAUGAUUUACAUUUGAGUGAGUGGCGAACUGGUGAGUAACACGUGGGAAACCUGCCCAGAAGCGGGGGAUAACACCUGGAAACAGAUGCUAAUACCGCAUAACAACUUGGACCGCAUGGUCCGAGCUUGAAAGAUGGCUUCGGCUAUCACUUUUGGAUGGUCCCGCGGCGUAUUAGCUAGAUGGUGGGGUAACGGCUCACCAUGGCAAUGAUACGUAGCCGACCUGAGAGGGUAAUCGGCCACAUUGGGACUGAGACACGGCCCAAACUCCUACGGGAGGCAGCAGUAGGGAAUCUUCCACAAUGGACGAAAGUCUGAUGGAGCAACGCCGCGUGAGUGAAGAAGGGUUUCGGCUCGUAAAACUCUGUUGUUAAAGAAGAACAUAUCUGAGAGUAACUGUUCAGGUAUUGACGGUAUUUAACCAGAAAGCCACGGCUAACUACGUGCCAGCAGCCGCGGUAAUACGUAGGUGGCAAGCGUUGUCCGGAUUUAUUGGGCGUAAAGCGAGCGCAGGCGGUUUUUUAAGUCUGAUGUGAAAGCCUUCGGCUCAACCGAAGAAGUGCAUCGGAAACUGGGAAACUUGAGUGCAGAAGAGGACAGUGGAACUCCAUGUGUAGCGGUGAAAUGCGUAGAUAUAUGGAAGAACACCAGUGGCGAAGGCGGCUGUCUGGUCUGUAACUGACGCUGAGGCUCGAAAGUAUGGGUAGCAAACAGGAUUAGAUACCCUGGUAGUCCAUACCGUAAACGAUGAAUGCUAAGUGUUGGAGGGUUUCCGCCCUUCAGUGCUGCAGCUAACGCAUUAAGCAUUCCGCCUGGGGAGUACGGCCGCAAGGCUGAAACUCAAAGGAAUUGACGGGGGCCCGCACAAGCGGUGGAGCAUGUGGUUUAAUUCGAAGCUACGCGAAGAACCUUACCAGGUCUUGACAUACUAUGCAAAUCUAAGAGAUUAGACGUUCCCUUCGGGGACAUGGAUACAGGUGGUGCAUGGUUGUCGUCAGCUCGUGUCGUGAGAUGUUGGGUUAAGUCCCGCAACGAGCGCAACCCUUAUUAUCAGUUGCCAGCAUUAAGUUGGGCACUCUGGUGAGACUGCCGGUGACAAACCGGAGGAAGGUGGGGAUGACGUCAAAUCAUCAUGCCCCUUAUGACCUGGGCUACACACGUGCUACAAUGGAUGGUACAACGAGUUGCGAACUCGCGAGAGUAAGCUAAUCUCUUAAAGCCAUUCUCAGUUCGGAUUGUAGGCUGCAACUCGCCUACAUGAAGUCGGAAUCGCUAGUAAUCGCGGAUCAGCAUGCCGCGGUGAAUACGUUCCCGGGCCUUGUACACACCGCCCGUCACACCAUGAGAGUUUGUAACACCCAAAGUCGGUG